rnacentral:rRNA from 1 species
AGCGUAGACGGCAAGGCGAGUCUGAUGUGAAAACCCAGGGCUUAACCCUGGGACUGCAUUGGAAACUGUCUGGCUCGAGUGCCGGAGAGGUAAGCGGAAUUCCUAGUGUAGCGGUGAAAUGCGUAGAUAUUAGGAAGAACACCAGUGGCGAAGGCGGCUUACUGGACGGUAACUGACGUUGAGGCUCGAAAGCGUGGGGAGCAAACA